GGGUUGUGAGGUUAAGCGACUAAGCGUACACGGUGGAUGCCCUGGCAGUCAGAGGCGAUGAAGGGCGUGCUAAUCUGCGAUAAGCGCCGGUAAGGUGAUAUGAACCGUUAUAACCGGCGAUACCCGAAUGGGGAAACCCAGUGUGACUCGUCACACUAUCAUUAACUGAAUCCAUAGGUUAAUGAGGCGAACCGGGGGAACUGAAACAUCUAAGUACCCCGAGGAAAAGAAAUCAACCGAGAUUCCCCCAGUAGCGGCGAGCGAACGGGGAGGAGCCCAGAGCCUGAAUCAGCAUGUGUGUUAGUGGAAGCGUCUGGAAAGGCGCGCGAUACAGGGUGACAGCCCCGUACACAAAAGCGCAUGUGCUGUGAGCUCGAUGAGUAGGGCGGGACACGUGGUAUCCUGUCUGAAUAUGGGGGGACCAUCCUCCAAGGCUAAAUACUCCUGACUGACCGAUAGUGAACCAGUACCGUGAGGGAAAGGCGAAAAGAACCCCGGCGAGGGGAGUGAAAAAGAACCUGAAACCGUGUACGUACAAGCAGUGGGAGCCCCACCACCAAAGCAUUCUCUGGUGUUGAAGGCCCUGCAAAGCAGCAUCGCGGUGGCGGAGCGUCGUUUGCGACGCCCAACACACAAAACAAGCGGUGAAUGCUUUGGGGUGGGGUGACUGCGUACCUUUUGUAUAAUGGGUCAGCGACUUAUAUUCUGUAGCAAGGUUAACCGAAUAGGGGAGCCGGAGGGAAACCGAGUCUUAAUUGGGCGUUAAGUUGCAGGGUAUAGACCCGAAACCCGGUGAUCUAGCCAUGGGCAGGUUGAAGGUUGGGUAACACUAACUGGAGGACCGAACCGACUAAUGUUGAAAAAUUAGCGGAUGACCUGUGGCUGGGGGUGAAAGGCCAAUCAAACCGGGAGAUAGCUGGUUCUCCCCGAAAGCUAUUUAGGUAGCGCCUCGUGAAUUCAUCUCCGGGGGUAGAGCACUGUUUCGGCUAGGGGGCCAUCCCGGCUUACCAACCCGAUGCAAACUGCGAAUACCGGAGAAUGUUAUCACGGGAGACACACGGCGGGUGCUAACGUCCGUCGUGAAGAGGGAAACAACCCAGACCGCCAGCUAAGGUCCCAAAGUCAUGGUUAAGUGGGAAACGAUGUGGGAAGGCCCAGACAGCCAGGAUGUUGGCUUAGAAGCAGCCAUCAUUUAAAGAAAGCGUAAUAGCUCACUGGUCGAGUCGGCCUGCGCGGAAGAUGUAACGGGGCUAAACCAUGCACCGAAGCUGCGGCAGCGACGCUUAUGCGUUGUUGGGUAGGGGAGCGUUCUGUAAGCCUGCGAAGGUGGCCUGUGAGGGUUGCUGGAGGUAUCAGAAGUGCGAAUGCUGACAUAAGUAACGAUAAAGCGGGUGAAAAGCCCGCUCGCCGGAAGACCAAGGGUUCCUGUCCAACGUUAAUCGGGGCAGGGUGAGUCGACCCCUAAGGCGAGGCCGAAAGGCGUAGUCGAUGGGAAACGGGUUAAUAUUCCCGUACUUGGUGUUACUGCGAAGGGGGGACGGAGAAGGCUAUGUUGGCCGGGCGACGGUUGUCCCGGUUUAAGCGUGUAGGUGUGUGUUCCAGGUAAAUCCGGUUCACUUUAACACUGAGGCGUGACGACGAGGCACUACGGUGCUGAAGCAACAAAUGCCCUGCUUCCAGGAAAAGCCUCUAAGCAUCAGGUAACAUCAAAUCGUACCCCAAACCGACACAGGUGGUCAGGUAGAGAAUACCAAGGCGCUUGAGAGAACUCGGGUGAAGGAACUAGGCAAAAUGGUGCCGUAACUUCGGGAGAAGGCACGCUGACACGUAGGUGAAGUGAUUUACUCAUGGAGCUGAAGUCAGUCGAAGAUACCAGCUGGCUGCAACUGUUUAUUAAAAACACAGCACUGUGCAAACACGAAAGUGGACGUAUACGGUGUGACGCCUGCCCGGUGCCGGAAGGUUAAUUGAUGGGGUCAGCGCAAGCGAAGCUCCUGAUCGAAGCCCCGGUAAACGGCGGCCGUAACUAUAACGGUCCUAAGGUAGCGAAAUUCCUUGUCGGGUAAGUUCCGACCUGCACGAAUGGCGUAAUGAUGGCCAGGCUGUCUCCACCCGAGACUCAGUGAAAUUGAACUCGCUGUGAAGAUGCAGUGUACCCGCGGCAAGACGGAAAGACCCCGUGAACCUUUACUAUAGCUUGACACUGAACAUUGAGCCUUGAUGUGUAGGAUAGGUGGGAGGCUUUGAAGUGUGGACGCCAGUCUGCAUGGAGCCGACCUUGAAAUACCACCCUUUAAUGUUUGAUGUUCUAACGUGGACCCGUUACCCGGGUUGCGGACAGUGUCUGGUGGGUAGUUUGACUGGGGCGGUCUCCUCCUAAAGAGUAACGGAGGAGCACGAAGGUUGGCUAAUCCUGGUCGGACAUCAGGAGGUUAGUGCAAUGGCAUAAGCCAGCUUGACUGCGAGCGUGACGGCGCGAGCAGGUGCGAAAGCAGGUCAUAGUGAUCCGGUGGUUCUGAAUGGAAGGGCCAUCGCUCAACGGAUAAAAGGUACUCCGGGGAUAACAGGCUGAUACCGCCCAAGAGUUCAUAUCGACGGCGGUGUUUGGCACCUCGAUGUCGGCUCAUCACAUCCUGGGGCUGAAGUAGGUCCCAAGGGUAUGGCUGUUCGCCAUUUAAAGUGGUACGCGAGCUGGGUUUAGAACGUCGUGAGACAGUUCGGUCCCUAUCUGCCGUGGGCGCUGGAGAACUGAGGGGGGCUGCUCCUAGUACGAGAGGACCGGAGUGGACGCAUCACUGGUGUUCGGGUUGUCAUGCCAAUGGCACUGCCCGGUAGCUAAAUGCGGAAGAGAUAAGUGCUGAAAGCAUCUAAGCACGAAACUUGCCCCGAGAUGAGUUCUCCCUGAGACUUAAAGUCUCCUGAAGGAACGUUGAAGACGACGACGUUGAUAGGCCGGGUGUGUAAGCGCAGCGAUGCGUUGAGCUAACCGGUACUAAUGAACCGUGAGGCUUAACCUUACAACGCCGAAG
rnacentral:rRNA from 2 species